AUCAUAGGGCCGGAAUUAAAAAAAAAAAGAUAAAUGGGUUUUUUUACGCGAGCCGGGCCUUCCCAGUGACCCCGUAGGAGACGGGUUCACGCCAGGUGUCACGCAGCUAUUGGCGACGCGUUAUUGACGUGAGGAGGAGGAUCGCGUGUAGAGAAUCACUUUCCCUCAUUUCUGAAAAAAUCUAGGGUUUGCUCCCGAGAGGCGAUUUCUCGAGCGAUCGUCUCCUCUCAUCUCAUUUCUUCAAAUUUCUUCACUAUUCUUCAUCGAUUCGAGUAGAGAGUGUCUCCUCCACGUUAAUAGAUGGAUCCCGCAGAGGAGAGGAGAGAUACAAAGAGGCAUCAGGAGUACAUAAACAUGUUGGGAAACGUUUACGAUUCAGAAUAUGGAAUUCCAAGACGAUGUCCCUGUGGUGGGAGAAUGAUUGACGAGGUGCGGGUGAAGGAGGAGCACGAGACUCAUCCUGGAAAGCGCUUCUUCACCUGCAUAAACUACGAGGCUGAUGGGUUACAUUAUCGUCAGCCUUGGGUUGUAG